rnacentral:tRNA from 2 species
GUUUCUGUAGUUGAAUACAACGGUGGUUUUUCAAGUCGCUGGUCUUGGUUAAAAUCCUAGUAGAAACU